UAUAAAUUUCCUUAUUUUUCCUAUUCAUUUUUUUUUUUAUUAUUCUUUAUUCUGACCUUCUUUUGUCAUCGACUUUAGUAUAAUAAUUGUUCAGCUUUGACAAUAUCCAUUAAUAAUUUAAUUUUUGAUUUAGCAUGUCUUCUGAUUGGCUGACUGUUUAUCAGCUCAUAGACAUAAUUUUGUCAUGUGACCUUGACGUCAUCAACGUUUUUUUUUAUGAUUAAUGCUGGUUUAAAAUGGAAUUUAGAAUUAAAUUAACAGAAAUGACUGUAAUAUUUUUUCUGUCUAUUAGAAAUAACAAAAAAUGUGGUUCACACUUUAAAAUUACCCGCUACACAAGUUAUUCAGUGUGCACCAUAUUUUUGAUGUUAUUCCUUCAUAGACAGAAAAAAUAUUACAGUCAUUCCUUAAAUAAAACAAUUAAUGCAAAUGAUAUGGACCAACAAAGGCUUUUAUAACAGUACUACUGGAUUGAAGUUAAGAUUUUGGCACGGUAGCCCACAGCUGAAAUUUUGAUAGGCAAUAUAUAUAGUCCUGUACAAGAAAACAAAAAUUUUAGUGACCCACAUCAAAUUUUAGAGGCCAUUGGCGAGUGGGCCCUGCUAUUUUGUUAACUUACUUAUUUUCAAUAAAAUUUCACUUCCUUUCUGAAAGAAUUUUAUUUUUAUCUCAAAAUAAUUAAGAUACUGAAAAAUUUAUUUUUGAAAUUGCCCAACCCCACAAAUGAUGAACGGUUGGUGCUUGAGUUUCGUUCAAUAAAAUUUCAUCCAAAAGAGGGUCUGUAUUGGAUGAGGUCGGUCUGUAUUGGAUGAGGACGGUCUGUAUUGGAUGAGGAUGGUCUGUAUUCGAUGAGGACGGUCUGUAUUGGAUGAGGUCGGUCUGUAUUGGAUGAGGUUGGUCUGUAUUUGAUGAAGUUGGUCUGUAUUGGAUGAGGACGGUCUGUAUUGGAUGAUCUUCAUUUCUGUAUUCCUUAUUUUUUUUUGUCAUUUUUCUCCAUAUUCUCUCAUUAUCUCUAUGCUUUAUAUUUUUGGCAUUUUCCUCCAAUCUUUAUCUUUUGGCCCAUUUUCCUUUAUUUAAAUUGCAGCAUCUUAUCAUUUCUUUGCUUAUUUCUUUUCCUCCAAUCUUUAUCGUUUGGCCUAGUUUUCUCUAUAUACAUUGCAGCAUUUCAUCAUUUCUUGCCUUUAUUUCUUUUCCUCCAUUUUUUCUCCAUUAUUUAUCUUUUUUUGGGUUUCUAAAUCUAAAUCCAUUAUUCGCUAUACAGUAAACCCCAUCCAGAUCCUUGUUACAAAUUUUAUUGAGCUCACUAUACAAAUCCUUAUUUCUAUAUUGAGUAUGUAUACCAUUAUUAUCCAUUAUAGAUGACGAUCAACAGAUAAUUUGUUUCAGGACUGUGAAAAAAAACUCUGGUGUUUCAAAAGUCGAAAAGUUGUGAAAACAUUUUCAUUGAUUAAAGAGGUUGACCUAGGUUAAGGGAAAAAACUCUUUUAAUUUCAUCAACACGUUUGUGUCAAGCAUUUUAAUAAAUAUAUUCUAAGCUUCUAGGUUACACAGAUUAUUUCUAAUCUGUUUCAGGAAAGUGCUUUAAAUACAUUGAUGAAACUUGACUUUUACAAUCGCAUCACUGAUUUAAAGAGUUAUCUCCCUGAAUCAAGGUCUUCCCCUUUAAGUCUAACAAAUUUUCAGUAAAUCAGGUCAUUUAUGUCAGGUAUAUUAUGUCAUUGUCAGCUGCUUUAUUUUGUCAUGCACACAGUGAAUUGUGCCUAAUCAUAAACAUUUUGAUGACUCAGAGUCAUCUUUGAAGUUGGAAUUAUGGGUAUUUUUAUUUUUAUGUAUGCAUGUUUUUUGUCAAGAAUAUUUAUAGAACUGUGUACAGCAGAUUGUUUACUGGUGUAACCCUAGGUAAUCAUGUGCCCUAAGGGCUUGUAAUAAAUGUGUAUUCACUGAAAUUUGUUGUGUUUUUAAUAUACCCGGUGUUAACUUCACAUAACCAUAAG
rnacentral:lncRNA from 1 species